CCCUUAGAUGUUCUGGGCAGCACGCGCGCUACAAUGGUCUUCGCAAACGGAUGCAUUCUCGAAGGAGAAUGCCAAUCUUGGAAUCUAUGCCUUGGUCGGGACAGUUGCUUGCAAUUUUUCGACUCGAACCAGGAAUUCCUUGUAAUCGUGAUUCAUCACAUCACGAUGAAUACGUCCCUGCCCUUUGUACACACCGCCCGUCGCUCCUACCGAUCGAAGAGUUAGGUGAAUUGUUUUGAUCGAUAAGAUUUGACUAUGGUCAACUCUCGUUGUGAAAUGCUGUGAAUCUGACUGUUUAGAGGAAGGAAAAGUCGUAACA
rnacentral:rRNA from 1 species